AAGUGCUGGGAUUAAAGGCGUGCACCACCACCACCUGGCUUAAACUAAUCACUUUUUAAACUUGAGUACGUCUGUGUCAGUUUAACAAUAACAAAACCCAGAAAAGGUAAACCUGCCAAAACUAAGGAACUUAAUAUUCUUACAUUAAUUCUUAAAGAUUUAUUUUUACUAUUUAAAAUUAUAUGUAUAUGAGUGUCUGUGUGGUCAUAUAUGCUCCUUGGAGUCCAGAAGAGCAUGACGGAUCCCUGGAUUGUGAGAUACAGGUAGUUGUGAACCCCCAUGUGCGUGCUGCAAGCUGAAUUGUGUCCUCUGCAAGAGCAGCCAGCACUCUUAUGCACAGAGCCACCUCUCUAGCCUCUUAAAACGAUUUUAUCUUGACUCCAUCGCACAUUAGUAAAGCAGCUUCCAAGUUACCUUUAUAACCAAUGUUCAAUAAAAGAAAAACUUAAAUUCAGUAAUUUUCCUUUUUUUAAAGGAAAAUUUAAACUGAGUCAACAUCUUGGUAUUCAGCAUGAUUCUUACAUUUGUACAUUCUCUCUCUCUCUCUCUCUCUCUCUCUCUCUCUCUCACACACACACACACACACACACACACAAACAUACACACAUUUUCCAAAGAAGAUGUCAUCUUUAGCACCUACCAAAUUACUUUAAAAAAAAAAAAACAGAAAACAAAGACCCACUAUUUCCCUUAGCAGCUUGGGAGGAUAGGUUUGUAUGCUGAGUGUAUUUCAUAUCCAUAUGACAACCCAUUUAAUUGUUAAAAAAAAAAACCCUCUGGGCCCUAAGACACCCACUAUCGUUUCUUAGUGUCUGCUUCAGCAAAAACAGCAUAAUCAUUCCAUCCAUCCCCUUCACCUAGAUGAGAUGCCCUCAUUGCUUCAGUUGAAUUUUAUUCGAGCCACCAGACUCUAAGACCUUUCCAGACCUUUUGUCUGGACAGUGGCACACACAAGUGCCUCCAACACACAAGUGGGCGAAUGUCCACUACUGUCUUCAUCUCCUUAACAAUAUGCAUGUCUUACACUUUUAUGAAGAAUGUAUUUCCCACCCCCACUCUCAGGAAGUAGUCCUCACAGACACCGACUACAGACUAGGAUACCUGGGAGACUGAAGCUGGAGAGGUGCCAUCUUUCCCUCGGGCAUGUCCACACAGCUCAGGGAGGUGAACACAGCAAAGCCGGGGUAGGUCCUGCUUAGCCCAUCUGUCACAGUCUAGCUCUACGAGGCUUUACUUCAGGAAAUGGUAACAACACGUGGCUAUCUACAGCUCCUUUUCUUCCCAGCAAGAAAGCAAUAACCUCACUAAGAAACAAACAGCUACAUGCCCAUGGAAAUUAGGGAGGCAUUUAAACAGCUUCUCAAAAAGAAAUUACUUUAGUAGGUGAAAAACUAAGUGCAUAGUGAAAAGAAAGUGGAAAAGAGUUCACCCCGCCUUGAACCUGCCUGUCUCAUGGUGUAAAAUAGUCAAAAACACAUGUGUUUCACAUCACUAAGUAAAUUCAGAAAGGAAGACCUUCUUUUCCGCAGUUUGAUUCCCACGAGUUCAGGAAUUAGCAAAUCCCCUGGCAGGCUGACACUGGCAGGGCCACGCUCCUGCUGAUGCAAAGCAGCCAACAGGAGAUGUGAUAAGAUAUGAUCUGUCACCUGCUGCUUCUGUCCUUCUACCAUAAACGGACUUGACGUGUGUGUCCCCAGCUCAACAGAUUGCAAUUCUGUCAAGGUCACAAGAACCCAGCCCAACAUGGCAUAUCUAACAGGCAGGAUUUCCUCUUUAAAAGCCAUUUAGAAAAUUAAACAAUUUAAAUGCAAUUAACUUUUGACAGAAUUCAUCAUUUAAAAAAACAUGGGUAAAUUUUGAUCUAUUAACAAUUACUUUUUGGCCUUGAAUGCUCACGGAAAAUCACUUCUUUUCCAAUUUCAUUCUCCUUUCCUUCCCACCUUGCUGCUGAUAAACGUGAGCACCAUGUGGAGCACACAGAUGCAGUGAAGGCCUGCCACCAGUUGUGCGCACAGACACCGCUUCAGUGCAAGAGGCCAGUGUGCCAUUACCUUGUUGAAGCAACUACGAUUUUGAGGCAACUGCAGAUGGAGCAGCGUGACUGCGGCCUUCCAUUUCAUUCUCCUCUUCAGAAGUCUCUGACACUGUAAACGGUAACUUGUCCGAGCUUGCUCAUUAGAAGACUACAUUCUAUCUCUAAAAAUAAUGAAGAUCUGCUGUUCUUUCUGCUAGGGCAAGAGGCUCGCACUGAGUCACACAUCCAUGAGCCAUCUCUGUCUCGCGCAUGUUCCCCAGCUCACUGUGGAGCAAAGGCACACACAAUUGGAGACAAAUGCCUGGGUUUGGAAAUUUAGUGGGAAGGCAUGGAAACAUUUUCUCUGGGAGGCACUGGCAGACUCAAUUGUUGCUGUCAAGAUGCACAUUUCUGAAGGAAAAUCUUCUUUAAAAAAAUGAAGAGUCUUAAAAGCA